UAGCGUAUAUUAAAGUUGUUGCAGUUAAAACGCUCGUAGUCGGAUUUCGGGGCGGGCCUGCCGGUUUGCCGAUGGGUAUAUACUGGUGGGUGCGUCCUUCCUUCCGGAGACCGCGCCUCCUCUUAACUGAGCGGGCGUGGGAGACGGAUCGUUUACUUUGAAAAAAUCAGAGUGUUUCAAGCAGGCAUUUCGCUUUUGCAUGGAUUAGCAUGGGAUAAUGAAAUAGGACUUUGGUGCUAUUUUGUUGGUUUCGAGCACCGAAGUAAUGAUUAACAGGGACAGUCAGGGGCACUCGUAUUCCGCAGAGAGAGGUGAAAUUCUCAGACCCGCGGAAGACGAACCACUGCGAAAGCAUUUG
rnacentral:rRNA from 1 species